GAAAGCCCAGUGCCAGCUCUAUGCUCAGGGAACUCAGAUUUUAGCCAGACACCUUUAAUUUCCCCCAAAGGGUUAGGCAUCUCUUUAAUUCUACCUUUCAGCUUGGGUCUAAAAGACAUUCUGUAACUUAUGGCUUAAAAGCCAUGACUUAAAACCCACUGUAUGUUCUCUGCUUCUGGUGAGCCAGUUUCCAAGCCUCGUGCCCAGUUCUGUGUGGUCCUGACCAGCACUGGUGUGGUGUACCCACCAGAGAAGACUGCCUGAACAUGGGUUUAUGCCAGCAGAAAGUCUUUAUCAUUCAACCAGCGACUACGCUGGGUGUUCAAGAUCCAGGUCCUACAAGAGAAACCAUGCUCAGAAGGUGAGAUUACUACCCAAGCACUCCAAGCACUCCAAGCACUCCGCGUGUAAUCACAGAGAUGGCACCGAAGUCAGAGUCCUGAGUCUUAACAUCACUGGAUAAUUAUUAUUGAUGUGUUGGGCAUCGUACACAGGACCUGGGUGCUCUGGGAGAGGCUCGGUAUACAAGAGCAGGUAAACAAGUAAGUAGAGAUUGCCAGGCUGACUGAGAAGACUGUCCUCGCCCUCAAGAAACAACGAGCAUCUAGCUCCCUUGACGACAGCUGUGACAGAAUGUUGGCUCAUUGUUCCAAGAAGUCCGAGGUGGAGUUCAGUGGAAGAUUGCUUGUCGACACAUGUUGAUGCCCAGAACUCCCUCAAAAUGGCUGAAAACUCAGACUUGAAGUAGAAACUUCUAGUUCUUUGGAAAGUUAUGUCAAAUGAUGUUUUCCUGAAGCACACACAGGUGAAAGAAUGUUUUGAUAUAGCGAACACAUAAAAGGACACUUAAUGAAGGAGUAUAAAUAUGACCCCACAGACAGUGGGUGACAAGCACUGAGCCUUGGUUUGGUUUGCUCUGCCUCGCUAUUCUUCUUUAAAGACAUGCACAUAUUGGUUCCCCCUUACAUAGUGUUAUUGAGCUCAACUCGUGAGAGAAACUCUCCCAAGAACUGCUCGUAAGGUUCCUGCAGCAGCUUGCAACUUCAGCGGCCUCACCUUAGGCCUGUUGGUGAGCCUGGCAGUUUCUUCAGGAUCAAACGACUGCUGCCUGGUGUCUGCUUGCUGGAAGGACUGAACUGAAGCUGCUGGUUUGUGCCUGGUGUCUGCCUGCCUAGAGGACUGGUCUGCAACUGCUCGGUCGCAUUUGGUGUUUGCUAUGAGACUGAAGUGUGCCCAAGAAGAUGGAGCUUGCCUCCAAAGAGCUACUGCUGAGCAGAACCCCUUCCCCACAUCCUAAUAACUUUCUCUUCCACAACCUCUGCGGGGUGGUGGGCUAGGAGAGGUGGAACCCUUAUUAAAAGUAGGUUACAAAAAAUUUAUGUCUACACAGAGUAUU
rnacentral:lncRNA from 1 species